AAGAUACACGAAGAACCUACCUGGCCUUGACAUGGUAGGAACCGUUAAGAGAUUAGGGGUGCUAGCUUGCUAGAACCUACACACAGGUGCUGCACGGCUGUCGUCAGCUCGUGUCGUGAGAUGUUGGGUUAAGUCCCGCAACGAGCGCAACCCUCGUCCUUAGUUGCUAACAGUUCGGCUGAGCACUCUAGGGAGACUGCCUUCGCAAGGAGGAGGAAGGUGAGGACGACGUCAAGUCAUCAUGGCCCUUACGGCCAGGGCUACACACGUGCUACAAUGGGGCGUACAGAGAGCUGCGAUACCGCGAGGUGGAGCCAAUCUCUUAAAGCGUCUCUCAGUUCGGAUUGUUCUCUGCAACUCGAGAACAUGAAGCUGGAAUCACUAGUAAUCGCAGAUCAGCUAUGCUGCGGUGAAUACGUUCCCGGGUCUU
rnacentral:rRNA from 1 species